UACGGAGGGUGCAAGCGUUGUCCGGAUUUAUUGGGCGUAAAGCGCACGUAGGCGGGCUGUUAAGUCGGGUGUGAAAGUCCCUGGCUCAACUGGGGAAGGGCGCCCGAAACUGGCGGUCUGGAGUACGGGAGAGGGAGGUGGAAUUCCCAGUGUAGAGGUGAAAUUCGUAGAUAUUGGGAGGAACAUCAGUGGCGAAGGCGGCCUCCUGGACCGAUACUGACGCUGAGGUGCGAAAGCGUGGGGAG
rnacentral:rRNA from 1 species